rnacentral:ncRNA from 1 species
AAAAAAUAUGAUUUUUGUUUGGUUUUUUGCUUUAAAAUUAAAAUACAUGUAAAUUUUUUAUUGUAAGGAGAAAGAGUAGAUUUAAAAAAUUAUUUUUGGGUUCGCAGUGUAUAGAAUUAAAUUUUAUAAAUGGAAAUUUGAUUUGGUAAAUUUUAAUUUAAUCUGACAAAAUUUGUGCCAGCAGUCGCGGUUAUACUUAAAGGUUAAGUGGAAAUUUAUUAGUAGUUAAUUAGUUGUGAUAGAUAUUUUGUUGUUAAGAGUUUAACAGGGAUAAUAAGGUAGAAUUAGUUUUUUUAGUGUUAAAAGCGGAUAAAAUAUAUUAAAAACGAGGUUUAGGAAAAUUAGGGGAUAAACUAGGAUUAGAUACCCUAUUAUACUUAUAAAAGAAUUGUGUAACACUAGGAGAUUAAUAGUUAUGGUCUUUAAAUUUAAAGAAUUUGGCGGUAUCUUAGUCUUGUUAGAGGAACCUGUCUUAUAAAACGAUAAACCACGAAAAAUCUUACUUAUUUAAUAGUUUAGUUUGUAUACCGUCAUUAAAGAUAACUUUAAAAGAAAAAGUUAGUUGUUAAAAUUACUUGAGGGUUAAUAUAUUAGAUCAAGGUGCAGUUAAUAAAUAAGGUAAGAUGGGUUACAAUAUAAGUUUAUAUAAAACGGAUUAAGAAAUGAAAUAAGGUUAUAAAGGAGGAUUUAAUUGUAAGUAGAUUUUAAUAAGGUUUAUUGAUAAAGGCUCUAAGUUAUGUACAUAUUGCCCGUCGCUUUCGUUAUUAAAAUGAAAUAAGUCGUAACAUAGUAAAUGUACUGGAAAGUGUAUUUGGAAAA